GCGGUGAUAGAAAGUCAAGGACUCUAGCUAAAGUUACUAAAUCAACUCCUCUUAUUACCACUACUUCUCUUAUGAAAGCAUAUGUGUUGAAGAGGGGAAAUCGCUGCGCACUCCAAGUCCUUUGGAGCUCAACGGGAUGGAGAAGGAUCAUAGAGUAAUACCUGAAGCUUCAAGUUGGAGUAAAAAUCAAAGAAGAUACGGCUUAUUCCAGCAGAAAGAGACAAAAAGAGUCGUCGGCUAUUUUGACUAGGGUUCCAUAUUGAAGGAUUUUUUGGUUCAGAAUCAUCAUCAACCGAACUCAUAAACCAACAAUGGAAUUUAAGCUGGUAAUUAUUGGGGAUGCUAGAACAAGUACGAUAUUUGUUUCUAUUAAGAUUCGACAUAUUAGAACGAAGUGUCUGUAUCUUUUUUUUUCACUUAUAUAUAUAUAUAUAUAUAUGAUUAGAGAGAAUUUAGAUUGUAUCUAGACUGCUAUGGAGCGACUAGCGACUAUUAAAAAAAAAACUUCCGGGGUGAUAGAUUCUUUUGAAUGCUGGUUUGGUUAGUUCUUUUUUUUCUUAAUAAGAUUCAAUUAAAACUUCCUCUAUUACCCGUUGCACUUGAUUAAGCCAUUGCUAUACAUUGGACGGGUAUGAUUGGUAAGAGCCUUUGGGUCAAGCUUUCCAGUUAAUAUCUUCUAAUUUUUUGGUUUUGAUCUUCAAGUUAUUUGCAAAAUGCAGGGAAAACAUAAUUUCUUAGGAGGUUUCACUCGGGCGAAUUUGAGUCGGAAUAUGUGGGGACCCAUGAUUAUGAACUCCAUACACUGAGCUUCAUUACAAACUUUGGGAAAAUCCGUUUUCACUGCACGGACACACCUGCGCAAGAGGAUGCUCAUAAUAGACGAGAAAUGUACGCCGAUGCUCAUUGUGCGAUUGUUAUGUUUGAUGUUACCUCACCAAACUUGUUUGAUAAUCUUGAUAUAUGGUGCUGUAACCUUCGCAGGUGCAACAUGAAUAUCCCAAUUGUUUCAUGUAGAAACAAAGUUGAUCUUGAUGAUGGGUACAUGCAACAAUCUAAUAUCAUGCGUGCUUCCUCUGAACUCAAAAUUCAACGCUAGGAUAUAUCAGUGAGAAGUGGUUCCAACUUGAAGGAGCCUUUUUUGUAUUUUGCCAGAAUAUUUACAGCGAAGCCUAAUUUGGUCUUUAUGGAGUCUCCCGCGCUGGUUCCUUCGCAACUCCACUUUGGUCUUGCUGCCCAGGAACUGCAUGACGAGGCUACGUUUGCUGCUCCUGCUCCUGCUCCUGCUGCUGCUUCUGGCAGUCAACCUCUUGCCUGUUGUGAAUUGUGAUAAUGACACAGAGUAGACAAUGACUUGUGGGGUUGUAAUUAUUGGAGAGGCUCUUCUAUCCUCUUCCCCGUAAAUUACAGUCACUGUGUUGCUUUUUAUGGGUUAGUGCUUGUAGGCACCCUAUCAUUUCUUGUUGAGUAGGAAAGACGGAUUCUUAUACUUAAUUAUUUCGUAGUUUAUUGAUGGAUUCUUAAUUUUCUCGUGCUUGAUUGAAUGUUGAAAUUGACGCAUAGCGCUUGUAGGCACCCUAUCAUUUCUUGUUGAGUAGGAAAAAUGGAUUCUUAUACUUAAUUAUUUCGUAUUUUAUCAAUGGAUUCUUAAAUUUUCU